AAGAUAACACAAAACAUAACAAAGAAUACAGAGGAGAACUAGACAA
rnacentral:guide_RNA from 1 species